rnacentral:snoRNA from 1 species
AUGCACAAUUCAUUGUCCUGCUCCUCCCCUGAUUGAGGGUAGUGAUAUUUCUGUUGUGCUAGAGAAACUGUUGGAGGUAAAUUAGCAGACUGGUAACUCUGUGCCACCUCUGCCAGUCCCCUUCACACAGUA